GACGAACGCUGGCGGCGUGCUUAACACAUGCAAGUCGAACGGAAAGGCCCUGCGUUUGUUGGGUGCUCGAGUGGCGAAAGGGUGAGUAACACGCGAGUAACCUGCCCUCGACUUUGGGAUAACUUCAGGAAACUGGGGCUAAUACCGGAUAGAAGCUCCUGCUGCAUGGCGUGGGUUGGAAAGUUUCGGCGGUGGGGGAUGGACUCGCGGCUUAUCAGCUUGUUGGUGGGGUAGUGGCUUACCAAGGCGUUGACGGGUAGCCGGCCUGAGAGGGUGACCGGCCACAUUGGGACUGAGAUACGGCCCAGACUCCUACGGGAGGCAGCAGUGGGGAAUAUUGCACAAUGGGCGGAAGCCUGAUGCAGCAACGCCGCGUGCGGGAUGACGGCCUUCGGGUUGUAAACCGCUUUCGCCUGUGACGAAGCGUGAGUGACGGUAAUGGGUAAAGAAGCACCGGCUAACUACGUG
rnacentral:rRNA from 1 species